rnacentral:rRNA from 1 species
UACAGAGGGUGCGAGCGUUGUCCGGAAUCACUGGGCGUAAAGGGCGCGUAGGCGGCUUGAUAAGCGUGCGGUGAAAGCCCGGGGCUCAACCCCGGGUCGGCCGUGCGAACUGUCGAGCUGGAGCACUGUAGAGGCAGGUGGAAUUCCGGGUGUAGCGGUGGAAUGCGUAGAGAUCCGGAAGAACACCGGUGGCGAAGGCGGCCUGCUGGGCAGUGGCUGACGCUGAGGCGCGACAGCGUGGGGAGCAACAGG